UUGCUACCACUGUUGACGGGGAUUAUCAGAUAUAUCCGAAAGUGUAGUUAGGAAAAUGUCAGCAGUGUUGCUGAGGUGAAUGUGGUGGUGUUCAAGAUUGUACGUAACACGGUUCAACGUUAUGGGGAGUGUACUUUUCAUCGUUGCCUUAGUCAUAGGCAUCCACGUGAAAUGUUGUUCAUUUCAUGAUAUUUCACAUUUAUCAGUAGAUGAUGUCACCUCAAUGUUUGGAGAUAAUGAAUGCAUUGAAGGUUCACUCAUCGAUUUUCAACCAUCUUCAACGAUGCCUCCGACAGCUUUUGCAUAUGAAGAUCUUCAAGCAAUGCUGAAGAAGUUAGGAGGAAGAGUUGCUCAGGAGUGGGCACCAUCAAUAUCAGGCAUAUAUAGUGCAUUCUUAUCAGAAAACAUGACAAAAGCAGGGGUGUAUACUGAAACAAAAACAAAGACAAAAUCAGCAACAAAAUCAACCAGAAGUGAAUACAGUGCUUCAGACUUCAGUGGAAAAACACCUAUGUCAGUUGUCAAUGAGCUGUCACUUUUAAUGAAGGUUCGACCUGAGUACUCUUUGAUAGAUAUGCAGGGACCACCUCAUGAGAGAACUUUCACUGUUAGUUUAAAAUUUGGAGGUGAAGAGUAUUCUGCUUCUGGUUCAAGCAUUAAAAAAGCACAACAGUUGGUGGCAAAUAAGUUUCUUCAGCACACACUUUAUCAGCAACCUCUACAGCAAUUGGCUCACAAACAACAAAUGCGUAAAAGUAAUAUUGGAACAAAAACAGCAACAUCUAUAGUCUAUGAAAUCGCAGCCAAGCAGAAGUUAUCUCUCACUUUUGAAGUGGAAAGUCAAACAGGUCCAGCACAUAUGCCUACAUUUGUGACAAGAUGUGUAUUGGGGGACAAAAUCUCAAGAGGACAAGCCAACAGUAAAAAGUUGUCAAAGAGAGCAGCAGCUGAGAAAAUGCUGGAAUUAGUCCAAUAUAAUGAGUCAUAUUCCUUUCUGUCAAACUCAAUGAAGAGGAAGUCUAAGAAGAAGCGACGUUCAUCUCAAAAGAAGAAAAGAACUCGCAGUAUUCUCAAUACUUUUGAACAGAUGAAUCCCAGUUUUCGGACAGAUGAAACAAUUGCAGCAGUAAUGAAUUCAGAGUUUUGGGAUGUUUCCAGUGACAACAACAAAGGUUUGAAUCAAAGAUUGGUAGCAUUUGCAAAGCAGCUGGUGAAGAGUGGAAGUUCCUUUCUUGGUGAGCCUACUGUGAAGUCAACACUUACAGACACGUCUUCCACCUUCAGCUCCAAAUCACAAACAUCACAAGACCAAAAAGUUACUGCAAAACACACAUUGAUGCAAGCAGCUGAUUUAUUGGAUUUUAAAGUUCAUUUCGUAGAUUUGCCUAAGCCUAAUGAUGAAUUCUUAAGUUUGGUAUCAUUGGCAACAAACCAGCCUUCACUUUGUCUCGGUGUUGGAUCAACAGUUGAUGCCUCACAGGAACAGGCUGCCCUGAGAGCUUUGAAGGCCUUGUGGAAACUGGAUGUGGAACAAAUCUCGUCUAACUCUGCUCCCAAUAAAACGAUGGGCUGGGGAGACUGGUUUCAGUGGUCAGAAGAAAUGGUGCAAAGUGCUCGGAAUGCCUUCCACAUUAAAUAAGAUAGUACAUUCAGUGUCCUUGGUAGGUUGUAAUAUAGUUACACCUAAAAACUGUUGGUUACAAUGUUGCUCUAUGUGAGGACCAUCUCCAUCCACACUGCACUAGAGAUUGCUCUACUGCUGCCCAAAACGAUGAUGGACCAUGGAAUGUUCAGCUGUCAUGACACAGCUCAUACACUGCUUGAAGAUACCACAUUGAUCCAGCAUUCUAAGUCACAGUAACUUCUUCAACAUUAUUUAUUUAUCGUAUGGCAAUACAUAUACAAAACUACUACAUGUCAACAUUUAAACACUGCUCUCCAGCAUAAAAUAACGCAAAUGACAACAGCUAUACACAGAUAUCAAGAUUUGUUAUGUAUUUUAUCACAUCAUUCGUUGCUAUCAGCAAAUCUGUGAAAUGACCUUUACAGGCACCUGUGUGACACGUCAAUACGACAUGAGCAAUUAUCAUUCCCCACUACAGUCACACAAUGAUGAUGAUUUGCCUCAGUCAUAGAGAGUGUCUGCGCAUCUGCCAUGGUCCGUUCGGACUUAGUUCGGGGUAGUUCAAACAGCCCGAGCCUUAUUGAAUCCAGAGGGUUUCUUUGGAUGCAAGGCAAUUUCAGGCAUUGUGGAGGACAGUUCUGUUUCCAGCAGUACUUCCUUUCAUCAAUGGUAUUGAAUUCAGUUUCCAUGAGAGUCCUGGCUGUUACAAGAGUGGAUGUCUUGGGCUUUGUCUCAGUCUUUCUUGUUCUGCACAUAAUACACUGUUCAAUAUUGGGAGGUCACUGUUUUCAGCAAUCUUCUGGUAUUCGCUGCAGUUGAGCGCUCUUCCGCCUGAUAUCAGGUGGUAGAAUGUGGCUCAAGACAGCUAACCGGUAUGUGGGAGUCAAUUGUAUUGACCUACUAACAAUAUGUAUAGUCUCAUUAAAGUGUAUGUCUAUCUUUUUUACGUGUGGACUACUAUGGCAGACAAGCGCACAAUACUCUGCUGCUGACGAUACCUAACGAGUGCUGCAGAGCUUAUGGUGAAAGUUGUUUUGGCUUUUGAGCUCAGCGGAAGUUUGUGUCAAGUGCUCCUUCAAAGACAGUGUCCUAUUUAUUGUGAUCCCAAGGUAUUUUGGAUGCUAAAGAACGGUCACUUCAAGGCAAAUAUCUAAAACCAAGAAGAUGACACACCCAGAUAAUACAGGACUUAUAAUCUCAAAGAUCUGCUGCCUAUAAUGGAUUUGUCUUCUUCAACAAUUUGUGGUGCAAUUGGCUGUUGGCCUCUCCCAGGAGCAAUUAUUAAAUCGCCAGUUAAUUCGGACUCCCAUGUUCUUCAGUCCCACUGUGGAAAGAGGACCUCUCCUUAAUUAAUCAAUAACUCACAAAGAGCAGCAGCAUCACCGCCAUUGUUAAAAAAAGAAAAUACAGCUUUACAAGUAAAGCCCACUCCACCUUGUCCAGAACCAUGUUAACUGUCUGUAACUGUAAUGCACAAUGAUGCUUGCUUGUGUCUCAACCCUACAUCACCGUAGCAAUACCAACAACUAACUGUACGUCAGGACACACAUUACUAACAAUGCAUAUCCUGUAGCACAUGCAGCACACCAUCUGAACAUAUUCCUAUUAAAUGUGAGUACCCAUACAGUACAUAGUUUUCCAUCUACACUGGCUCAAGUAGCGAAAGUUUAAUUAUAUCCAUACUGUAUAUUAACAUUGUUGGUGAGAUGGCAAUUAAAUCAAUAAAAACGCUUAAUAAUGUCAGCAUUUUUAAUGAUAUUUACAAAUCAUGUACUACAUGACUAUUUUAGGUUAUAUUGUUUUGUAAAUUUUGUUAGUGCAGUAGCAUUCUGAUUCAAUGAAGAUACUUCUCCCCAUACCUGAUGCCUCUCCUCCUCCCUCUUCCCACUCCAAUUUAGGUUGAUUUCUUCUACAAAGAAUCAAGAAUGCUCUAUGUUAUUGGCUCUAACCUGUCUGAAUUACAUUUGCUUUGUGACUUUCCCAGUAUUCUCCUCCCUGUCCUCCCUUCAUCACCUUUCCAUCAGCCCUCAUAUAAAUUACGUGAUUUAUUUAUACACUUCUGGCUAUUGUUUUAUCUUUAUACGCACUUGCUCCUAUUAUCCUUACAUUUUUUCUAAUAUUAUUUUUGUUAUUAAUUUGUCCAUUCAUUUUUAAUGUGCACUUUUUAACACAACCAACCAUACAAAUAUGCAACCUGGUGACAGACUUUGGUAGUUAGUUUUUGAAAUGGCAGUCCGCCAUCAGUUGAGCAGUAGUGUUGAGAAUGUAAUUAUAUGACAACUAUGUAUUAAGGCAUGUAAAUGAUACGUAAACUUCAAUGUGAAUGUUUCUAAAAGCAUCAGAAAAUAUAAUUUUUAAUAACUAGUGAUAUGUUGAUAUUAGCGAGCUAAUAAAGCAAUGACGUACUCGGAAGUAUCAAGUGA